rnacentral:rRNA from 1 species
GGCAAACGGGUGAGUAACACGUAAGUAAUCUGCCCCUAAGUCUGGAAUAACCUUGCCAACGCGGGGAUAAUACCGGAUGUGAUCACGAGGUCGCAUGGCCAUGUGAUUAAAGAUGACCUCUACCUGUAAGUUAUCGCUUGGGGAUGAGCUUGCGCACCAUUAGCUUGUUGGUGAGGUAACGGCUCACCAAGGCUGCGAUGGUUAGCCGGCCUGAGAGGGUGACCGGCCACAUUGGGACUGAGAUACGGCCCAGACUCCUACGGGAGGCAGCAGUAGGGAAUUUUGCGCAAUGGGCGAAAGCCUGACGCAGCAACGCCGCGUGAGGGAUGAAGGGUUUCGGCUCGUAAACCUCUGUUGAGUGGGAAGAAACGUUUCGUGGUUAAUAUCCACGGAGUCUGACGGUACCACUUGAGGAAGCUCCGGCUAACUACGUGCCAGCAGCCGCGGUAAUACGUAGGGGGCUAGCGUUGUUCGGAAUCACUGGGCGUAAAGGGAGCGUAGGCGGGAAGGCAAGUCAGGAGUUUAAUCCAC